rnacentral:rRNA from 1 species
ACUCCUACGGGUGGCUGCAGUGAGGAAUAUUGGACAAUGGGUGGAAGCCUGAUCCAGCCAUCCCGCGUGCAGGAAGAUGGCCCUAUGGGUUGUAAACUGCUUUUGUAUAGGGAUAAAUCAUCUUACGAGAUAGGAUGUUGAAGGUACUAUACGAAUAAGCAUCGGCUAACUCCGUGCCAGCAGCCGCGGUAAUACGGAGGAUGCGAGCGUUAUCCGGAUUCAUUGGGUUUAAAGGGUCCGUAGGCGGGCUAAUAAGUCAGUGGUGAAAUCUCACAGCUCAACUGUGAAAUUGCCAUUGAUACUGUUAGUCUUGAGUGAGUUUGAUGUUGCUGGAAUGUGUAGUGUAGCGGUGAAAUGCAUAGAUAUUACACGGAACACCGAAUGCGAAGGCAGGUAACAAAGACUUAACUGACGCUGAUGGACGAAGGCGUGGGGAGCGAACAGGAUUAGAUACCCUGGUAGUCCACGCAGUAAACGAUGCUAACUCGUUUUCGGGGUGAAGAACUUCGGAGACCAAGCGAAAGUGAUAAGUUAGCCACCUGGGGAGUACGUUCGCAAGAAUGAAACUCAAAGGAAUUGACGGGGGCCCGCACAAGCGGUGGAGCAUGUGGUUUAAUUCGAUGAUACGCGAGGAACCUUACCAAGGCUUAAAUGCAUUUUGACGUACCCUGAAAGGGGUAUUUCUUCGGACAGGAUGCAAGGUGAUGCAUGGCUGUCGUCAGCUCGUG